AUUUACUGUGGGGACAAGAGAGUCAUUUGUAAGCACUCCCUUUGGCUGCCAGAGUUUUCUUCAGAAAAUCAAAGUCCAACUUUGCAUUGAG